rnacentral:rRNA from 1 species
AGAAUCAACGCUGGCGGCGUGCCUAACACAUGCAAGUCGCACGAGAAAGGGGAGCAAUCCCUGAGUAAAGUGGCGCACGGGUGAGUAACACGUGAAUAAUCUACCUCCGAGUGGGGAAUAACUGAGAGAAAUCUUAGCUAAUACCGCAUAACACUUACGAGUCAAAGCAGCAAUGCGCUUGGAGAGGAGUUCGCGGCAGAUUAGUUAGUUGGCGGGGUAAUGGCCCACCAAGACGAUGAUCUGUA